rnacentral:rRNA from 1 species
CCUACGGGAGGCAGCAGUGAGGAAUAUUGGUCAAUGGACGAGAGUCUGAACCAGCCAAGUAGCGUGAAGGAUGACUGCCCUAUGGGUUGUAAACUUCUUGUAUAUGGGAAUAAAACGUUCCACGUGUGGGAUUUUGUAUGUACCAUAUGAAUAAGGAUCGGCUAACUCCGUGCCAGCAGCCGCGGUAAAACGGAGGAUCCGAGCGUUAUCCGGAUUUAUUGGGUUUAAAGGGAGCGUAGGUGGAUUGUUAAGUCAGUUGUGAAAGUUUGCGGCACAACCGUAAAAUUGCAGUUGAAACUGGCAGUCUUGAGUACAGUAGAGGUGGGCGGAAUUCGUGGUGUAGCGGUGAAAUGCUUAGAUAUCACGAAGAACUCCGAUUGCGAAGGCAGUUCACUGGACUGCAACUGACACUGAGGCUCGAAAGUGUGGGUAUCAAACAGGAUUAGAUACCCCAGUAGUC